ACCCGGCGAGUUUUAAAAAUCCAUAUCCAUAUCCGUACCCGACCAAAAGCCUGAAACCCGUACCCGGAUCCGGACUCGGCGGGUUUUAAAAAUCUAUACCGUUAAAUAAAAAUCUAAGUGAUAAAAAAUUAUUAAAUAUUUUACAUAUUAUAUAAAUGGCCAAUUUGCAUAAAAAAUUCACUUAUUUUGGGCUUUUGCAAAACGGGACCAUCUUUUUCGUUCUUGCCGAUUCGAUCUGCUUUUUCAGCAAACUGACUAAAAUAUCCUUAUUAUUUUUUCUCUUUCCUCUUUCUCUCUCCUCUUCGUUUCUCUCUUUUUUUUUUUU
rnacentral:lncRNA from 1 species